rnacentral:rRNA from 1 species
AUUGAACGCUGGCGGCAUGCUUUACACAUGCAAGUCGAACGGUAACAGGCCGCAAGGUGCUGACGAGUGGCGAACGGGUGAGUAAUGCAUCGGAACGUGCCCAGUCGUGGGGGAUAACGCAGCGAAAGCUGCGCUAAUACCGCAUACGAUCUAUGGAUGAAAGCGGGGGACCGUAAGGCCUCGCGCGAUUGGAGCGGCCGAUGUCAGAUUAGGUAGUUGGUGGGGUAAAGGCUCACCAAGCCAACGAUCUGUAGCUGGUCUGAGAGGACGACCAGCCACACUGGGACUGAGACACGGCCCAGACUCCUACGGGAGGCAGCAGUGGGGAAUUUUGGACAAUGGGCGAAAGCCUGAUCCAGCAAUGCCGCGUGCAGGAAGAAGGCCUUCGGGUUGUAAACUGCUUUUGUACGGAGCGAAAAGGUCUCCUCUAAUACAGGGGGCUCAUGACGGUACCGUAAGAAUAAGCACCGGCUGACUACGUGCCAGCCGCCGCGGUAA